CAAUCCAUAAUAUAUUUAUAUAUUCGAACCUAGUAAUAGAUAGCAUUUUAUGGAUUAUAUUGAUUGGAGAAUUCAAUUUUAUCUAAACGUUUUUUUUUUCACUGAAUUUUAUUGAAAAACUGAAACCAGCCCAGACCAUACAAAAAACCCAAAUAUAAAAUACAUUACACAAAAGUCCAAAAAAGCACCAGGCUAACCUGCCUUAAAGGCCCAGUAAAACAGACACCAUAGAAGGACACAUAAAACAUACACGCGGCAAGAAAUCAACGCUUCACCGUUAUCCUUCACCGCUUUUACCAAAUCCAGAAAUGACGCCGGUGAUGUUCACGGCUAAUUCACCGUAACCCACCGUGUUUCAUCAGAGCCAAAUCGUGAGCACGAUUCUCCACCAUCGUUUCCGACUUCAAGCUUCUCCAUCAACCCAAACAAAACAAACGACCACCGGAUUUCACCGGGAACUCAACCAUAAACACUAAAGAAAUCCACCUCCAACAACUGUAUUGGACGUUUUGGGCUUCUUCAGCUAAACACAUACCCAGUUUGGAGAGCAUCAAUCGAUUAAACACCAAGAUCUCAUCCAAACCCUUAACCGUGGACCAAAGCCGAAUGAUUUCGCCUAAGAUCGCGAAAACACCGGAGUCAAAGCCAGCUACACCGCGUCAAAGAGACCACCGUGCACUAGAGUCGAUACCGUGAACCAGAAAGAAAGAAGAAAGACGGGAACCACCGCGGCUCGAUCUCUCUCUCAAGAUCUCUUGAGGGAGAAAGAGUCUACCAUUCCCUUGUCAAUUUUAUCUAAACGUAUUAUUUGAAAGUUCAAACUAAAUUAAUAAAACAUGUCAAUAUUUUGAAUCGGUAAUAACUUGAUUAAUCCAACCAAUCCUCAAAAAAAAAACUAUGAACUUAUUUGUGAUGCCC
rnacentral:lncRNA from 1 species